AUUGAACGCUGGCGGCAGGCUUAACACAUGCAAGUCGAGCGGAGAUGAGGUGCUUGCACCUUAUCUUAGCGGCGGACGGGUGAGUAAUGCUUAGGAAUCUGCCAUUUAGUGGGGGACAACAUUCCGAGAGGAAUGCUAAUACCGCAUACGUCCUACGGGAGAAAGCAGGGGAUCUUCGUACCUUGCGCUAAAUGAUGAGCCUAAGUCGGAUUAGCUAGGUGGUGGGGUAAAGGCCUACCAAGGCGACGAUCUGUAGCGGGUCUGAGAGGAUGAUCCGCCACACUGGGACUGAGACACGGCCCAGACUCCUACGGGAGGCAGCAGUGGGGAAUAUUGGACAAUGGGGGGAACCCUGAUCCAACCAUGCCGCGUGUGUGAAGAAGGCCUUAUGGUUGGAAAGCACGUUAAGCGAGGAGGAGGCUACUGAGACUAAUACUCUUGGAUAGGGGACGGUACUCGCAGAAUAAGCACCGGCUAACUCUGUG
rnacentral:rRNA from 1 species